GUGAGGAAUUUUCGGCAAUGGGGGCAACCCUGACCGAGCAACGCCGCGUGCAGGAAGAAGGUUUUCGGAUCGUAAACUGCUUUUCUCUGGGAAGAGCAAGGACGGUACCAGAGGAAGAAGCCCCGGCUAACUACGUGCCAGCAGCCGCGGUAAUACGUAGGGGGCGAGCGUUGUCCGGAGUUACUGGGCGUAAAGGGCAUGCAGGCGGUCCGAUCAGUUUGGGGUUACAGCUCCCGGCUCAACUGGGAGAGCGCCUCAAAGACGGUGGGACUUGAGAGCCAGAGAGGGACACAGAAUUCCGGGUGUAGUGGUGAAAUGCGUAGAUAUCCGGAGGAAUACCAAAGGCGAAGGCAGUGUCCUGGCUGGUAUCUGACGCUGAGGUGCGAAAGCUAGGGGAGCGAACGGGAUUAGAUACCCUGGUAGUCC
rnacentral:rRNA from 1 species